AACCCACGGACUCGAACGUGCACUUCCGGUGAACCUCCCACAGUUUCGUCCUUAUCGAGAGGGAACCGCACCGCUCGGCCCCAAAUCCCGCCCACCUUCUUCCCGGCGGCCGGUCCCAACUCCCGCCUGACCUUCUUUCCCGUCGGCCGGCCCCAACUCCCGCCCAACCUUCUUCCCCGGCGGCAGCCCUCAUCCCACCGCCCGCCUCCUUCCCCGACCGUAGAUCCCCACCUCCCGCACCCGAAAAAACCGAGGCGCCCACCGGUACUGCCCCCACCUCCGCCGGCGCCGCCUCCCGCGAACCUACCAGCCCGGCGGCGACCCUUAUCCCAGCUCGCGCGUCAGCCAUCUCGUUCCCCACAGCUUGCGCGACGCCGAAUCCCCUCCCCUGCAGCUCUUGAUCCACCCAUCACAUCCCCUGCAGCUCGGGCGCCACCACUCCGAUCCCCUGGCACGCGGCCCUCCCCUUCCUUCCAGCUCAGGCGGAGCCCUUCUCCUGCAGACCACGCGCCAGCAGAGUCCGCCGCCCUUCCCUGGAGACCUUGCGCCGACGACGACCAGGAGAUCGUCCGCCCUGUCCCCUGCAUACCACGCGUCGGAAUCGGCGCCGCCCUUGUGCUCCCGGCCGCUGCCGGCUAGGAGUCCCCCCACAGGCGCCACUCCGCCCUGGAGUUCGUCGUCCCUGCCUCGACACGCGCCACGAUCGGUCUCCGUAGAACAUGCUGCGUAGCCACCGGCUCCCACGUUCCCCCGAUGUGAACUGCCUCGAUGGGCUCUGGUGCCCCUGCGACGGUCAAGGUCUUCUACUCCUGCUCUGAUGCCGGCUUGCUCUCUGCUACAAUGGCGUUCUCCAGGUCACUGAGGCUCUCAUCCAGGAUGCCGUGCUCCAGGCUAGAGGUCCACUUGUCUUGAAGGUUGAUGAUUUCUGCUCUGAAAUUCAGUUCCGUUUUUGGCAGUGCUAUGUACGGGGCUACAUCGCACAGUCGGGCGGUCCGCUAACAGAGCCGGCGAAGUUCACCACUGCCACUACGGGGAGCCCAUCAACGGAGCGCAUUACUCCCUCUAACACCAGGUUCGUGCAUUACUCAAGCGAAC